rnacentral:rRNA from 1 species
GUGGGUAACCUGCCUUAUACAGGGGGAUAACAGUCAGAAAUGGCUGCUAAUACCGCAUAAGCGCACAGAGCUGCAUGGCUCAGUGUGAAAAACUCCGGUGGUAUAAGAUGGACCCGCGUUGGAUUAGCUGGUUGGUGGGGUAACGGCCCACCAAGGCGACGAUCCAUAGCCGGCCUGAGAGGGUGAACGGCCACAUUGGGACUGAGACACGGCCCAGACUCCUACGGGAGGCAGCAGUGGGGAAUAUUGCACAAUGGGGGAAACCCUGAUGCAGCGACGCCGCGUGAAGGAAGAAGUAUCUCGGUAUGUAAACUUCUAUCAGCAGGGAAGAUAGUGACGGUACCUGACUAAGAAGCCCCGGCUAACUACGUGCCAGCAGCCGCGGUAAUACGUAGGGGGCAAGCGUUAUCCGGAUUUACUGGGUGUAAAGGGAGCGUAGACGGUGUGGCAAGUCUGAUGUGAAAGGCAUGGGCUCAACCUGUGGACUGCAUUGGAAACUGUCAUACUUGAGUGCCGGAGGGGUAAGCGGAAUUCCUAGUGUAGCGGUGAAAUGCGUAGAUAUUAGGAGGACACCAGUGGCGAAGGCGGCUUACUGGACGNGUAACUGACGUUGAGGCUCGAAAGCGUGGNG